UCCCUCAGCCCCGCAACGAGGCUCGCCGAGGUGCCUGCCGUGCCUUUUGUUUGCCUUUUUUUGGUCAAAAUGCUGAUAGUCCUGCUCCAUGCACGGUUUGAGAUGGGUUGUGGCCUCCCUCAGAGCCCUUCCUGCGCUGCUUCCCUGCGCAUCUCAUGCACAGGCUCCCUUUAGGCACUGGAAAGCUACAAUUUUGUCACAACGAAGCCAAGGUAUAUCCACUCGGCACUGUUCUUGAUGGAACACUGUUAAGGAUUCUUGCAUAAGAGACAGGAGAAGAAUCCUCUGCUGGAAGUUACAUCCUAAGGUCUUUGGGAUCCUCUACCAAGUGGACAGCAAGUGACUGAUAGACCCAGCAGCAGCACCACGCCUCAGCAGGAAGUGCUGUGAUUUUACUUGGACUAAUUUGUCCUGCUGCAAGUCCAGCAAGCUGGAGGUUUGGACUCUGCUCGCCUUUCCUAAACACAGAUUGACAGCCCCACAUUUAGCUGACAAUUAAAAAUCUAGGAAGACAUCAGCUUAAAGUCAAGAGGAUUUAUUCUUCUCUCAGCAAUGUAAAUUUGUAAGUUUACACCAUUUUCACUGGAAGAAUUGCUUUGAAGGACAAAAAUUUUCACUAAGGAAAGGAUUUAACUCAGGUCAAAAAGGCAUGUCCAAAAGUAGGAGGUAAAUGCAGUUUCAUGAGCUACAGUGCACAUGUGCAACAUGUAAAGAGAAUUAUGCAAAGAAAUAACCCAAACAAACCAGCUCCAACAGCCAGAAAGAGGAAAAAAACCAACCAGACAAACAAAGAAAAUACAAGCCACCACCACCCAUCAAAAAGACAACAGAAACUCUUUGCACCCCUGGCCUACCCACUUGAAAAAUAUUAAAAUGUGUGGUGGGAAGAACACUGUCUACUUUAAAUGCAGCCGUGAGUUUCACCAGACAAAAGACUGAAGGGCAGAAGAGAUGAAGACCUCUCCUGGAGCAGCAGUUCUCCUCUCCAUGCAAAAGCCUUUCAGGCAAUUCAGGCAGCAGCAGCAGAGCAGCUUAGGCACAAAGCACAUCUCUGCCAGAUUCCCCAGCAAAUGGCCCCCAAGCCAGUGGUUAAUGUCUGAGGGCUGGCAGGGGACUCGCCGGGAGCCCGGCACUCCGUCAUAAUUAACAGGAUGCUAUUAACUAAAGAUCUUGGACGAGAAAGGUCCUCCCUCAAGUUAUACCUCUGACCUCGGUGAAGUUAAAUCCAUGUUGAAACUGGCCACUGGAGACCUGCUCCUGCAAAUCUUAAUCAGACAGCAGAUGCCUGCUGCCACCAAGAAUUGGAGUGCUUCUAGUAAACCUGUGGUGCCACACCAUCACUCCACAGGGGAAACCCACUGCCUGCUAAAAUUGGUUAUUUAACACAUUGCAGUGGAUUUUGUAAAGUCCCCCCAGCCCUUAAGUAAAUGGCAACAGAAGAGCAGAUGGUGCCUGUUUCCUCUACCAGGCAGGUGCUUGUGAGCCUGGUUUGCCAUGGGGAGCAAAGAUUCCCCAGCUAUCACUCCUUGUUGCUGUGCUUUGUUUGCUUUGCAUCCCAGUGAUUUGGGCAAAAGGAAAAAGGGGAAACUCAGUUUCCCUCUUCAGUUUCACACAAGCUCAGAGCAUGGUGCUCAGCUUCAUGCAGAGGGCAGGAUUGAGCAUGAUCAAGGUAUCACAAGACAAAACACUAAUUGCUGACAUGCAACUUUAUUUUUUUUUCCCCCAUUCCCUAAAAGGAAUAAAGUCACUCCUUGAAGUUUAACCAUUAA